AUUGAACGCUGGCGGAAUGCUUUACACAUGCAAGUCGAACGGCAGCACGGACUUCGGUCUGGUGGCGAGUGGCGAACGGGUGAGUAAUAUAUCGGAACGUGCCCAGUCGUGGGGGAUAACGUAGCGAAAGCUACGCUAAUACCGCAUACGAUCUACGGAUGAAAGCGGGGGAUCGCAAGACCUCGCGCGAUUGGAGCGGCCGAUAUCAGAUUAGGUAGUUGGUGAGGGAAAGGCUCACCAAGCCGACGAUCUGUAGCUGGUCUGAGAGGACGACCAGCCACACUGGGACUGAGACACGGCCCAGACUCCUACGGGAGGCAGCAGUGGGGAAUUUUGGACAAUGGACGCAAGUCUGAUCCAGCCAUUCCGCGUGCAGGACGAAGGCCUUCGGGUUGUAAACUGCUUUUGUACAGAACGAAAAGGUCUCUAUUAAUACUAGGGGCUCAUGACGGUACUGUAAGAAUAAGCACCGGCUAACUACGUGCCAGCCGCCGCCGUAA
rnacentral:rRNA from 1 species